rnacentral:rRNA from 1 species
UACGUAGGGGGCAAGCGUUGUCCGGAUUUAUUGGGCGUAAAGCGCUCGCAGGUGGUUCAUUGCGUCGUGCGUGAAAGACCCCGGCUCAACUGGGGAGGGUCGUGCGAAACGGGUGAACUAGAGGCCAGUAGGGGGAUGCGGAAUUCCGGGUGUAGUGGUGGAAUGCGUAGAGAUCCGGAGGAACACCAGCGGCGAAGGCGGCAUCCUGGACUGGUCCUGACACUCAGGAGCGAAAGCGUGGGGAGCGAUCCG